ACUGGAGAAAAAGCACGGUGAAGUGCAGGUGGGAAAUGCAUAAAGCAGCUUUCACCGUGGUGUAAUUGGGAGGGCUAACUUUAUUCUGCUGUGCAGUUUAUCUCAGCAAGCUCUGCCUUUUCCUAAUACGACUGCGACGUGCCAAGGCGUUCCAGGAAAAACAAAACAGAACGUGAAACCACCUCACUUACAGGGAUGAUGCAGACUAAGUUCAGAAGAGACGAGGAAGACUUAGGGUUUUGCUCAGGCAUAACAGAUAUGUCUAAGCAUCAGUCAUCAAUUCUGCCACCACUCGUAAAAGGUGCAACACCGAUACAUUCACUCAGAGACAGCUGGGAGUCACUUUUCUGGUUUCUGAGAUACAAGCAGCAUCAGAUACAGACACAAAUCACGCCUAGAUUGCAGAGGAGGAAGACAAAGCUUGUUGGGAAAACAAGGUGUAUGCCCUCCCCCGUGCAAGCAAGGAUACAGACAGGUCUUCUAAAGAUGGCUGGGAAUCAGACAGUCUGUGUUUCUGCUAAGGACUGACUUCCUGACUACCCUUGCACAAAUCUCACCCACCUCACAUCCCAUUUCGGAGCUUCAGAAUGAAAAUGCUACUUUUGUCUUCCUGCCAUCUUAGUUGGAAUGCAAAUCUGAUGAGUUCUUCAGUCUUUCCCAGCUGUCAUUCCACAAUGAAAAAUGAUGGACUGGAGAGAAAGGAAUGUUAUAGCCUUCAUUUCCUCAGUAGCCUCCUUUAUAAGAACAGAAUCUGGCCUGGCAGUCCUCCUUCAUAAAAUGUAGUAGGACCUGACUGACACUACAGGAGUUAUCACAUUUGAGUUGCAGCUUGGACCACUGUAAUUCAUAACAAAACUCUGCCUUCUCACAUUUUUAAAAUAAGACAAAGUCAAAAUACUUGCAUAUCAUAAUUCAUGUACUGUCCUGUUGCUAUUUUAUCACUAGAAUUUGACAGCAGGGGCUGCCUCAAGCACUGAAGUCUUCACUGUAGCAAUUACUGUGCAGUUGCUUUCAGAAACAGCAGAAGAGCAACAAAAGCCAUCUUGUGACAAAAACAGGGACAAAGCUACCAGAAAUUUGAUAGCUCUACCCUGUUUUGUUUAGAUAAGCCCAUAUCACCCCUCAUGCUCAGCUACCAUUGGCUUUCUAUAUUUACUUCUGCAUUUCAUUUUCACUUCUUUAAGUUGACUUAUUGCACAGCCGUGUGUUCGCUCAUAGCAGCCCCCAGGACAGGUGGGGAAUAGCCACCUCAGUACAGCCAGGGAAGGGCCACACUUCUAGGAUGCGGUGUAGAAAAACAUCGCAUUACUGAUGAAUGCUAAGAAUAGCUUGAAUGGCAAUUAAAAAGACAAGCACAAGGAUUUCAGUGAGCUGUAAGGCCUUUUUAACAGCAGUGUUAAGAUCUUAUGUUAAGUUGAAAUACAAUAAUUGCAGAUGCCUGAAAGCUGUACAAGUUAUUCUAUAGCUGCUGAGCUUCAUUUUGCCAACAUGCAAUAAGGACUAGCUGCUCCUUUACAAGAAACCAGGUACAGUAACAAGGCUAGAAGCACUAGCCUCCUAUUACCUGAGCAAGGCUGGCUUAAUAACAGCAAGCUGAUUUAAUCAAGUAUCCAGAUUAUCCAGCAACUUGCAGUGAUGAUGCAGGCCCAAGGUCAAGCCAGGAAAUCAAUCUACAGGUCAGGUCAAAUCCAGUGGGACCAACCACAGUCAGACAAAACUCAGUAAGUACUCAGCAGAUGCAAGAUGACAGAAUAAGCCCAAAAUCAAGAUAAAAAUUCACCUUGUAGAUCAGCCAGGAAGUCUGUGACUGAUUUAGAGAUCAGCACUAAUGCAACAAAGCCCAAAGAUCACAAAGAACUAAACCUGAGUUUAAGGAUUGCUCCUGGGCUGAGGGCCAGAGGGUGUGGGUCUCAGGUGAGGUUGGUUAGUCACAUUUCAUUCAUUUACAGUAAACAAAAGAAACCCAGCACCACCCUUCUUCAGCAAAUCCAGUUUCUCUAUCACUGUAUUUAUAAAAAAAACAAAGAUUUCUGAAGAAGUGUAUUGCCUCAAAUGGAUAUCACAGGACUACCUAGGCUCCAUUGCUCUGCAAUCUAAUUUUCAAGCAGUUGUUGGCAUAGCUGGCUCUGCCCAGGACUAGUGACUCCUCAGCAGGCAAUCACAUUGCUCUCAGCCUACUGACAAGCUCUGAACUGUGCUCAUCUGCAGCCAUUUCAGCUGCUUCUGGGAAAAUCACAGGAGCACUGUGUGUUGCUUGAAUUGGUGUGGCCAGUUCUGUUGCUCCUAACAAUAUCCAGCAGCACCUUGCGGACCAGACUAUGUCUAUGUCCUCCUCAAAUCAUGGGUCUUAAUGAUGUCUCCACUAGGGAAUCCACGAGAGCAAUGUGUUGGAGAUUCUUGGCUAUUAUCCCCAUCUGUUUUAUUACAUAUAUAUUUUUUUAAUAUCGUUGCUUAAAAAUGCAUUUCCUAGAGAUAUUAGCAAUUAAUUGCUAUCUACUAGAUAAUAUAAUUAAUCAUAAAA